AAAUAAGAAGCAAAACUUUGCGUUUAGUUUCGACCUAAAAAUUUGAAUAAUAUCCUUAUUUU
rnacentral:tRNA from 1 species